CGACCUACCUUCAUCAUUGUAAAAUACAGUUAGGAAUGAGUUUAUAGCUACCCACAAUCCAGUCGACGAACAAAUUAUCGACCUAACAUAGAACGAUCAACUUCGUUGAUCGAAAAUACGGAAUGAUUUACAAAACAAAUCGGCAUCACUGUUUUUUUUCUCCGCCAAACUGUCAUCUCAUAACAAAACAAUCGAAUCAUACAACUGCUAUAAACACAAGGCUAUUUUGGUUUCUGUGAGCGAGAUUAUUUCCGCCAUCACCACAGUGUGGAUUGCCACUGUGAUAGCAGCCAACAGCAUCAACAAUUUCCGCAGCAGUAUCAUCCAAGCCCUGGUGACCGUGCCGAAGAACAGCAACAACAGGACCUGACCAUCGAUGGUGUUUCGAAAAACUUUAUGAGGAUGAGAGGAUGAGAUCCAAGACUGUUAAUCGUUAUCAGCAAUUAUACCCUGGAGACAUCGACACCAAUACUAAAACGAAGAAAAAACGCGACGAGUAUCCUCCAGUGCAGGAUUCUAAUGCUGGUGCCCCCCAAGCCAUUGAAGAAUGGGAUCGCCGGGAGGAACGGGAAUAUGAAAAGCUAUUGGAGUCUUACCCUCGCUCAGAUUUUGAGAUUUGCCAUAAGCAAACCAUCUCCA